rfam:Pteropus alecto contig76460, whole genome shotgun sequence.
AUCUACGGCCAUGCUACCCUGAACAAGCCCGAUCUUAUCUUGGAAGCUAAGUAGGGUCGGGCCUGGUUAGUACUUGGAUGUGAGACCACCUAGGAAGACCAAGUGCUGUAGGCG